rnacentral:lncRNA from 1 species
UUUCAGAACACUUGGAAAAGAAAAGAGAGAGUCACAAACUCUAGGAGCUCAGAUGCAAUAAUUUAAUAACCUAAUAACUCUUUAAUACUGUGCGUUUCCCAGCCUCUGUUCUGGACCUGGGGAUUAUGAAGAGACCUCUGGUUGCAUGUCUUGUUUUGUAUCGAUGAGUGUCUGAACUGUGUUGCCAACUGAUUGAACAGACAGUUCGGUACCUCCCAACACAUCAACCAUCACCAGACCAAUAGUGAUGAAGUCGAUCUCUCCUCAACUUUGAUCCAGGAGAGAUUGACAUGCAUGUUCCUGACAUUCACCCUCCGUGUACAUCUAAGUGCGAUACGUGCUGCUUUGAUCUGGACCAACUGCAAUUCACCUAUGUCCUUCGUUGCCACACAUGACAACACAGCUGGGCAGCAGUAGUCCAGUCCAACAGGAGUGUGUCCCCCCUCAGGCCAUCCGGUACACAGACAUCCUGUUCCAGUGGGAUCUGAACGCGAGCGUCCAGUUGUGAAGACUACAGGAGAUCGAGCCUGUGGACGUACAGUCCUCCCGGGUUUUUGACCCUUGCCUGCCUUGACUCUGAACCCGCCUGCCCUGACCUCGAGCCCGCCUGCCCUGACCUCGAGCCCGCCUGCCCUGACCUCGAGCCCGCCUGCCCUGACCUCGAGCCCGCCUGCCCUGACCUCGAGCCCGCCUGACCUGACCUCGAGCCCGCCUGACCUGACCUCGAGCCCGCCUGACCUGACCUCGAGCCCGCCUGCCCUGA